rnacentral:rRNA from 1 species
AUUGAACGCUGGCGGCAGGCCUAACACAUGCAAGUCGAACGGUAACAGGAAGCAGCUUGCUGCUUCGCUGACGAGUGGCGGACGGGUGAGUAAUGUCUGGGAAGCUGCCUGAUGGAGGGGGAUAACUACUGGAAACGGUAGCUAAUACCGCAUAAUGUCGCAAGACCAAAGAGGGGGACCUUCGGGCCUCUUGCCAUCGGAUGUGCCCAGAUGGGAUUAGCUUGUUGGUGGGGUAACGGCUCACCAAGGCGACGAUCCCUAGCUGGUCUGAGAGGAUGACCAGCCACACUGGGACUGAGACACGGUCCAGACUCCUACGGGAGGCAGCAGUGGGGAAUAUUGCACAAUGGGCGCAAGCCUGAUGCAGCCAUGCCGCGUGUAUGAAGAAGGCCUUCGGGUUGUAAAGUACUUUCAGCGGGGAGGAAGGGAGUAAAGUUAAUACCUGUGCUCAUUGACGUUACCCGCAGAAGAAGCACCGGCUAACUCCGU